GACGAACGCUGGCGGCGUGCCUAAUACAUGCAAGUAGAACGCUGACUACUUUAGCUUGCUAGAGUAGAAGGAGUUGCGAACGGGUGAGUAACGCGUGAGGAACCUGCCUCUCAGUGGGGGACAACAGUUGGAAACGACUGCUAAUACCGCAUAAUGUCAUUGGACGGCAUCGUUUAAUGACCAAAGAUUUAUUGCUGAGAGAUGGCCUCGCGUCUGAUUAGCUAGUUAGUGGGGUAACGGCCCACCAAGGCGACGAUCAGUAGCCGGACUGAGAGGUUGACCGGCCACAUUGGGACUGAGAUACGGCCCAG
rnacentral:rRNA from 1 species